AGUAUAUCAUUAAUAAUUUUUAUAUUGCUUACAUUUUGAAAUAAUAUUUUGGACAUACUGGGUUAAAUGAAAUCUAUUACUAACAUUAAUUUCACCUAUUUCUUUUUGCUUUUUAAUAAGACUACUAGAAAAUUCUGAAUUACAUAUGUGGCUCGCAUUAUUUCUUUAUUGGACGGUGCAAUCCUCAUCAGAUGGCAGAGAUCAUUACCUUUGCCCAACGUUACAUCAUGACUCCUGGAUUCUCAUAAUGAAAAGAAAACAAAAACAACAAAUAACUGAGGAGUUCAUCAGCAAAACAGAUUUUGGAAUCUCCCAUGCCAUGCAUCUUAAUUUCUUGUUUCAUCUUGGAACGUGAACUUAUCAUGGAAUGAGCAUAUGUGCUCAUCUCAUGAAUCCUCACUGAAUGUCAAGGAUUUUUCCUGUGCUUGAAAUGAAAAGCCCAUGAACCAGGCUUGGGAGUUACACAGCCGGGGACAGCAUGCCACAUGCUACUACAGACCUCAGAGAUGCUGUGCCCCAUCCUUCCACUGGGCACAGACAGUGCAUCUUGCACCAUCAACACCCUGAGGCUGGACAGUGGAUGAUUCUUCUAGAACCUCUCCAACUGCUGCAUCUGAACACCAGCUGUGGCUUUCUGCACUCUAACUGUAGCUUCAAGGUGGCUUGGGAACGGAGCAGCAGGCUUUUAUAGAGAGAAAGUAAGUCAGUUGUUCUUAAACUCAAAAGUCAGAGGUUCUUCUAGAACCUAACAGGGCAAGAAACUGAAGAGAACAAUGAUGGAAAGCACAACUGCCCAAGCUCCAGAGGUGCAAAUUUAAGAGUGGUGAGAAGAACCAUUCUGGACACUUGAAAGAGUCUCCUUCCACACAACCAAGAAUUUAUUGAAACGGCAUGAAAAUUUUAAAGCUUUAGGAAUUGGAAAACUUCCAAAAGUCUUGCAAAAUUAGGGUUGAAGAUGAGACCUGUGGACCUAGGGGUCAAUGAGCUUUGCUUUCUGAAGCUGUGCCAUGCUAAUGUGUUUAUCAUUUACAUG
rnacentral:lncRNA from 1 species